rnacentral:lncRNA from 1 species
CUUCCGGUUUGGCUUCGGCCGCCCCUCAACUCCUCUCCUUCCCCCCCCUCCGCCUCCUCGUCUCCCUCCCGCUCCUGGGAAAGCGGAUCCGUCGCUUUAAGGGUGGCUGAGAGAAGCGGCGUCUCGGGGAGGGGACCGCGCCCGCCCCCUUGGAACCACGGAGCGUGGCCGAUACAGAUUCCUGAAAUCUGUUGCUUAAAGCUGCAAGACUACCAGUCGUCAAAAGCAUCAGAGUUCUUGAGAAGGAUAAGAUUUUACCUGAAUCAGUGAUUAAAGAAUAACAGAGACUUGCCAGAAGGCUGCAUGGACAGCCAUCCCCAAGGUUCUCCAUCCAUAGUAGCGGGCUGCAGAACAACUGCCUUCUUGCUGAUAGCAUGUGACCUGUGGAUUACAGACUAUAGGAAGACUCUCGCCUGCCAUUGGCUCAAGCAACGCGGGGAAAGUCGAUUCCACUGUCCUCUUGUCCAAGAAAGGUUCCUCUAUGCAUUUCCCAUGGGUGAGGCAAGUGGAAAAACCGGCAAAAGCUCAUCCUCUCUGGAUGCCUGUCGGCCCGAGGGAAUUGCCAGAGGCCUGGCCCCAAAGGGUACACAGCUAUCUCCAAAACGAAAAGGACCCAGUGCUCCGAAGCAAAAC